rnacentral:rRNA from 1 species
UCCUCCAAGGCUAAAUACUCCUGACUGACCGAUAGUGAACCAGUACCGUGAGGGAAAGGCGAAAAGAACCCCGGCGAGGGGAGUGAAAAAGAACCUGAAACCGUGUACGUACAAGCAGUGGGAGCACAGGUUUACCUGUGUGACUGCGUACCUUUUGUAUAAUGGGUCAGCGACUUAUAUUCUGUAGCAAGGUUAACCGUAUAGGGGAGCCGGAGGGAAACCGAGUCUUAAUUGGGCGUUAAGUUGCAGGGUAUAGACCCGAAACCCGGUGAUCUAGCCAUGGGCAGGUUGAAGGUUGGGUAACACUAACUGGAGGACCGAACCGACUAAUGUUGAAAAAUUAGCGGAUGACCUGUGGCU